rnacentral:tRNA from 1 species
GGUCCCAUAGCUCAGCUGGUUAGAGCAUCGUGUUGAUAACGCGAGGGUCGUUGGUUCAAGUCCAACUGGGACCACCA